rnacentral:rRNA from 1 species
GACGAACCGUGCGAACGUUGUUCGGAAUCACUGGGUUUAAAGGGCGCGUAGGCGGGCUGUCAAGUCGGUGGUGAAAUCUUUCGGCUCAACCGGAAAAUCGCCUUCGAUACUGGCGGCCUUGAGGGAGGUAGGGGCAUGCGGAACUUCCGGUGGAGCGGUGAAAUGCGUAGAUAUCGGAAGGAACACCGAUGGCGAAAGCAGCGUGCUGGACCUUUUCUGACGCUGAGGCGCGAAAGCCAGGGGCGCAAACGGG